GGCCUUUGGUAGCACUUUGCUUGCCCAGCUGGCCUCCCUCAGAAGCCAAUUAACCAAUGCCUUUGGUUUCUCGCCAGGCUGCUAUGAGACACCCUGGCCACUCCCACACCAGGACCUGGGCACCAGAACCACACGGCAGGGUCCUAAGAAAGUCCUCCUCAAAGAAGAGAAGGGACAAAAGGCCCGAGGAAGGGAAGAUGAGCAUCCUCGUGAGCACGGUGGCUUUGAAGAUGGCGAGGAGCUAAUGGGUAUGUGCCUGGCCUGAAGAGGGACACAUGAGGUAAACAGACUGGCAUGGAGGUUCAGAAAGUCCCCCAUGUUACAUGGCCAGUGAAAAGCUCCCAGAGAAGAGUCUGGAAAAUGGAAGGGGGAUGACGGUGAAUCACAGGAAAUCUCCUCGAGCUCCAGAACUGGUGACCCAGAACCUCCCCGAUGCUCUCAGGAAAGGAAAACUGCAGGAUUGCUUGGUUGGGAAUUCCAGCAUCCUUAAAUGGAGGCCAGGUUCUCCAAAUCCACUGAAGAUUGAAUAAGACAAAAUGUGACUUAUAUUUCAACUCCAGAAAUGGACUUUGGUGCCAAGAAGCUCUUGGCCAAGGGAGGCUGUAUGGGGUUCUUCCUUGGCUGGGUUGAGGACAUCCACAAUGGGGGAGGAGCAGGUGGCUUUUGCAUCCAGGAAGCACAGGCCCUGUCUCCCCCUAACGCUACCCUCACCAGCUCCUGUCAGAAGGGCUCUGGGCACUUCUGUGGAAAUAAGAUGCAUUUCCAUUUCACUGAAAUCAUGAUAUUGCAAAAUCAGCAGGAGUAGUUACAAGCCAAGAAUAGCUCCCCAUCCAGGGAAGGAAGGACUACAAGGCAAAAUGAAGGUUCACUUGCCAAACUCACUGAGACUCAGUCAA